AGAGACGUCUGAGCUCGCGAGGACCCGUCCUGAGGGAAGGGAAGUUGGGAGACUGAGUCGGUCCCCACGGCGGGACGCCCGGACCAGGGAGCGGCGCAGACACGAGUCUUGUCCCAGUGAUGUCUGAGAACAUCCCUAGAAGUCCAUGCGGGCAUUAUCCCCAGUGUGCAGGUGGGGACACGGACAAGCCUUGAGAGACACAAGGACUCAUCCAGGAUGGAGAACACGUAGGAAUCAGGAGCAGGCCCCAGAAUUUCCCUGCCUGAAGAUGCUCCUCGCUUAUGUAGAGCUCAACAUGCCCGACUCGGACCUGGAGCAGCGAGCCCGCCAUCUCCUGGAGCAGCUGGUGACCUUGGAGCCCACUGAGGCAGAGGGGCAUGUACCAGCUCCAGAACAAGCUCUGGAAACAUCUCCAGACUUGGAACCAACUAUACCUCUCCUGCCACAGCUCCAGAGCCAGAGCAUACUCAUGCCUUAGCUCUCAUUAAACUCAUAAUGGAGAAAAAGCGUCUGCACAGUUUUCAAUUCUGGAUCCAGAGAAGGUUCUUUAGCACCUCUCCCUCCAUCUGCAGAGCCAGAAUCAUCACAGAAAUCUGUCCUAGUACUUCCUCUACAACUUCAGCCAGUAUCCUCAAUACCGUCAGUUCCAGAGCUAAGCCAGCCUCAGCCAGGGUGCUGUUCCAUUGUGCUUUGUCACCAGCUGUCGCCGGAGUAUUAUCUUCUUUCAGUUCUAGAGACCACGGCAGAGCCAGUUCUAGUUAUUUUCCAGCUAGAGUGAGAUAGUACAAAGGUAUCAAGUAUCCAAAAGAGUAAAACAGAGAAGACAAAUUAUCACUGAGAUAGCAACAGCAGACAGCAGCCAUCAACCCUUGGCUGACAAAAUGAAGGUAACUGAAUAGACAUCCCUCCAAGUUGAAGUGCAGACCUCUGAAAAGAUUGCUGAUGUAGGUAUCUCUGGUCCCAGAAGAGGGGGGCUCAUGAGACUGGGAUCUGUAU
ensembl:lncRNA